rnacentral:rRNA from 1 species
GAUGAACGCUAGCGGCAGGCCUAAUACAUGCAAGUCGAACGGUAAGUAUUUUAGCAAUAGAAUACGAGAGUGACGUACGGGUGCGUAACACGUAUGCAACUUACCCUUUACAGGAGGAUAGCUCGGGGAAACUCGAAUUAACCCUCCAUGAGAUCACAGUGUGGCAUCACACAGUGAUUAAAACUCCGGUGGUAAAGGAUGGGCAUGCGUCUGAUUAGUUAGUUGGCGGGGUAACGGUCCACCAAGACGAUGAUCAGUAGGGGAACUGAGAGGUUGAUCCCCCACACUGGCACUGAGAUACGGGCCAGACUCCUACGGGAGGCAGCAGUAGGGAAUAUUGGUCAAUGGAUGGAAGUCUGAACCAGCCAUGCCGCGUGCAGGAAGAAGGCCUUCUGGGUUGUAAACUGCUUUUGCCAGGGGAUAAAAAGACCAUGCGUGGUUAAUUGAAGGUACCUGGUGAAUAAGCCACGGCUAACUACGUGCCAGCAGCCGCGGUAAUACG